UUUUUAGUCCGACGCCUUUUGAUUAUUAUUAUGGUGAUAUUUACAUAUUGGAUUUAUUGAAUCUGUUGAUAUUAUGAAGGUAUAAAUUUCACUACAACAGAAUUAGAUUAUAGGGACACAUAUUUGGGACACUUUUGAGUAAGUGUCUCAUUUAUGCUAAAACUUAAAAACACAUCUACUAAUGCCUAUAUAUAAAGCCCAAUCCAACCAAAAAUAAAAGAUUACUCUACUCAACCCACCAUUGGCCCGAUCACAAACAGAAAAGAAAAAAAAAAAAAAUCAAUUACUAUCUUUUUUUUCUCUCUUCACUCAAUCCACUGAAAUUCUAGACGAAGAGCCUUUACUGUCGUCCUCCUCCGCCACCGCAGCCAACGAGAUAGAGUUUCGGCGGUUGCUAAAUGCUUAAAUAAGUGUUGGUAAAUUAGUAGCACUCUUUUAGCUUAUAGCGACACUCUUUAACUGUCACUAUAU
rnacentral:lncRNA from 1 species